CGGGAGUGCUAGUUUACUAGAACUUAGAGACAGGUGCUGCACGGCUGUCGUCAGCUCGUGUCGUGAGAUGUUGGGUUAAGUCCCGCAACGAGCGCAACCCUCGUGUUUAGUUGCUAACAGUUCGGCUGAGCACUCUAAACAGACUGCCUUCGCAAGGAGGAGGAAGGUGAGGACGACGUCAAGUCAUCAUGGCCCUUAUGGCCAGGGCUACACACGUGCUACAAUGGCUAGGACAAAGAGACGCGAUACCGCGAGGUGGAGCAAAUCUUAAAACCUAGUCUCAGUUCGGAUUGGAGUCUGCAACUCGACUCCAUGAAGCUGGAAUCGCUAGUAAUCGUAGAUCAGAUAUGCUACGGUGAAUACGUUCCCGGGUCUUGUACUCACCGCCCGUCACACCAUGGGAGUUGAAUUCACCCGAAGCCGGAAUACUAAACUAGUUACCGACCACGGUGGGUUCAGCGACUGGGGUGAAGUCGUAACAAGGUAACCGUAGGAGAACCUGCGGUU
rnacentral:rRNA from 1 species